rnacentral:rRNA from 1 species
UACGGAGGGGGCUAGCGUUGUUCGGAAUUACUGGGCGUAAAGCGCACGUAGGCGGCUUUGUAAGUUAGAGGUGAAAGCCCAGGGCUUAACCCUGGAAUUGCCUUUAAGACUGCAUCGCUAGAAUCGUGGAGAGGUGAGUGGAAUUCCGAGUGUAGAGGUGAAAUUCGUAGAUAUUCGGAAGAACACCAGUGGCGAAGGCGGUGGUCUGGGCCGACACUGACGCUGUAGAGCGAAAGCGUGGGGAGCGAACAGG